GUACUUGUCUAGUGGGGGACAUACCGUGGUUUUGAGGCUGGUUUUUUCAGGAUGAAGGCUUAUUCAUUGCACUUCGGGUAUGCUGACCUCUGUGGUUUCCCCAAAGGUGGAAAGCUUGACUGCAUAAUCUGCGGUAGAGGGUGACUGUGUCCAUGUUUUCACUUG
rnacentral:snRNA from 1 species